CGGCGACUGAGGCGGGGCUGGGAAUUGCGGCGUUUGUCUGGCGGAGGGCCGGCCUCUCGGGCGAGCCUGGUUUGGGGCCUGGGGUUGGUCGUAAAAAUCAUAGUAAUUAAUUCUAACGGGCUACUGUGUCUUGAACACCUUUUACAUUUAUUGGCUUGUUUAGUCUUCACAUCCCCCCUUCUCGAAAGUGAAUUUGAACUGUGGUUGUUGCCUGGACUCGGCAUUCAAAUGCGACAAACUGACCGCUGGUUGUCGAAAUGUCUUGAAGAUGCUGAAGAACAAAUACAGAAUUCACAGAAUGGAAGAAACUUUCACCAUAUGCAAUGAUUUGGGAUGCCAUUGGUAUAGAUCCUAGAUGACCUGUUUACUCCCUGAAGCUUACAGUAUUCUCUUAAGACCUGAGCGAGAGGAUUCUCUCUCCUGGAUCUUGUAUGUAGAGGACCCAGAUAUCACAAACUUUAAAAAAUGGCUGUUCGUGGACAUAUGCGGAGUGGUGAAAACUUCAGAUCACCCAAUGAGCACCACGCUGAACAAGAUCUGAUGUCGAAAUGAACACAUAUCAGAGAUCUUGGACUUUGAGCUCAAAGCAGUGACUGUGUGGGACUGGUCUUCUCCCUUGGGGAGGAGGUGGAAGUUUAUCAAAGCAAGAAGGAUGACCUACAGGUUUCUGAAUUUGGCAACCAGGUGGAUGAUAAUGCUCUUCACUGAAGUAGGCAACAGGAGGAAGAGGAAGUGUGGAAGGAGGAUGAUUUUUCCAGUAUCACCUGGAGGAAAAUUGUGAAAUUGAUGUCUCUGGAAGCUUUUGAAAAAAGUUAUGUUGUGACCCUGCAAGUGCCCAUCUACCUUACUGUUUCCACCCUCCUCUGUUUCUGGGCUGUGUUGCAGCUUCCUUUUCCAUCUUGUCCCUCCUCUUUUCUUGACUAAAGGCAGGAGUUUGAAACAGAUUUAAUGAUUUUACAAAUAUUCAUUAAAUAUCUGUCAUGUGAGGGCGAGUUCACAGUCCUUGACACUGAAAGUCUCAUAAUUUAGUGGGGGAAACUGACAAGUAAACAAAUACCGCAAAUCUCUCUGAUGAAAGCAAUAGGAGUGAGCAUGGGAUAGAGGCAUCUAAUCUGGCCAACAAAUUCAGGGGGCUUGACUGAUCCUUUUAAUUCAUUAUCACAGAUCGUAAC